ensembl:lncRNA MRPL20-AS1 MRPL20 antisense RNA 1
AGCGGAGGCGCGGGUGCCGUGCUGAGAGCGCCUGCCUGUGCGCCCCGAGCGGGGCUGGGACUCUUCCAAGAUGCCCACGUUCGCACAGAGACCCCGGAUCGCGGAAGCUCGCGUCUCGAAAGGCCUAGCCCCUCCAGCGUGGGGAGGCCUAAGUACCUCAAGGUUCAGGCCCACGGAAGGAGUCGGGGGAGCGAGGCCCGGUGAUCUACGUGUGAAGGAGCUUGGACAGGACCUCACAAACGCCAGGGAGACGGCGAGGGGGUUCGUGCGUUUGUAACGUCUUGACAUCGCUGAUCCUCCCGCAGGCGGUCUCACGCCCUGCCCGUCCUGGGUUCACGGUUUUUCAUCACCUGCGGCUGUCCUGCGAUCGACCACAGCUGUGCAGGAGGGGCAGGAGGCUGGUAGCUCAGGGAUGUCUCGUCUGUGAGUUACAGCUGCACGCUCUCCAGGAAAGAAGGAAUUUCCUCUUCUCUGGAAACCCCACCACACAGCUGGUUUCUCAUUGGUGCUGCUUGCCCAUUCCCUGAGCUGUGACUGCCAGAGGAGUGGGAGGUUGGUGGUGCCUCCAGCCCAUCAGGGGCAGGCCCUGGGACCGCCUGGGAACAGGAGGACUAUGGCACAAACCGAGUGAGUGAUGGGAGCAACCCGCAGGGCUCUGCCACAUCCCUGUCUUCCUUCACUGACAUGAAACGCAGAAAAGGCAGCUUUGCCACAACACAGGAGCACGCACCGAAUGUGGCCGCCCAGGGCUCUGUCCUUGACCCUGUUGUCCAGGACUGUUUACCAAGGGCUGACAGGCACUGAGUGCCCCGUGCACCUGGCCAGACACUGCACUCAUGCAGCGGAAAGGACAGUGAACGAGACUUUGUCCCUGGCCUCCAAAGGCUUAGGGCGUAGUGGCUGUCAUGAGGCACAGUGACAAGGGCCAGGAGGGGGACCUCUUAGGGGGCCAUGCAGUGAUGGAAGCCAGAAGGAAUGAAGGCCUGCAGUGAGGAUGGAGUGGUCGGCCUGAAGCCAUCUCUAGCAAGUGGUCAGGACGCUGAUUGUUCUGCGCAGGUUGGAGGUAGGUGGUGAGUCUGAGAAAGGGGCCGGAAAGACUCCCCAGCAACUGCUGGCAAAGGGUGAAGGGCACGUUCCCACAGGAUUCAAGCCAGCUGCCUUUGGAGGGGAGACGGGCACUCAGUUUAGGCGCUCCUACAGCAGGGUCAGCAAGACAAGCAGGUUGCGGCAAGGGUCUGCGCACUGCUGUGUAAAUGUAGGGGCAUCGGGGGGCAGAAAGACCAGGGGAGAAGUGUGCAUCACCCUUGGGGUUAAGGGACAGUUGUCUGCUAGGUGUUGCUUCCUGGAGAUGGCUGAAAAGCCAGUCCAGUCUGCAGGGACCAGGCCACCACCCACCUGAUGUGGGAGCAUUUCCCCCAAUCCCUGCUGGGCUGCUGAAUCUGGGGGACAUAGGGAAGCUGAGGCUGGUGUUCUGAGUAGUGGCAGAGCUGAGCCACAGGGCAUGUCUGAGGUCAGCCCCGAGCAAAAUGGAAUAGGGACUCAGGGUGGGUCAGGUAACUGGAAAGCGGGCACUGUGCACGCAGCCCUUGAGGGGAGCCAGGGUGGGUGGGGAUCCCCCACUGUGUGCAGAAGGCAGCAGCCUUGGAAGCAGGGUGUGCUCCUCGGUGUGGUCGCUCGAUACCAGAAAAUGACUCUAAAAACUGAAGAGUGUUUGAGUUUCAUUCACACAAAACAUGGACAUCAUCUGUGAGGCUCUGUCCCAGAGAGACAGGGCCAUCCCUCAUGUCUGUUAUUGGGUUGUAGAUAAACAAAAGUAUAAAUCAAACAAACUGCAAA